rnacentral:rRNA from 1 species
AAGGAAUAUUGGACAAUGGAGGCAACUCUGAUCCAGCCAUGCCGCGUGAAGGAAUAAGGCCCUAUGGGUUGUAAACUUCUUUUAGACGGGACAAAACCCCUUUACGUGUAAAGGGUUGAUGGUACUGUCAGAAUAAGCAUCGGCUAACUUCGUGCCAGCAGCCGCGGUAAUACGAAGGAUGCAAGCGUUAUCCGGAAUUAUUGGGUUUAAAGGGUGCGUAGGCGGACUAAUAAGUCAGUGGUGAAAGCCUGCAGCUUAACUGCAGAAUUGCCAUUGAUACUGUUAGUCUUGAGUACAGUUGAGGUAGGCGGAAUGUGUCAUGUAGCGGUGAAAUGCUUAGAUAUGACACAGAACACCGAUUGCGAAGGCAGCUUGCUAAGCUGUAACUGACGCUGAGGCACGAAAGCGUGGGGAGCAAAC